rnacentral:rRNA from 1 species
UACGGAGGGUGCAAGCGUUGUUCGGAAUUAUUGGGCGUAAAGGGCGUGUAGGCGGUUCGUUAAGUCUGAUGUGAAAGCCCCGGGCUCAACCUGGGAAGUGCAUUGGAAACUGGCGAACUUGAGUACGGGAGAGGGCAGUGGAAUUCCUAGUGUAGGAGUGAAAUCCGUGGAUAUUAGGAGGAACACCGGUGGCGAAGGCGGCUGCCUGGACCGAUACUGACGCUGAGACGCGAAAGCGUGGGGAGCAAACAGG